rnacentral:rRNA from 1 species
AUUGAACGCUGGCGGCAUGCCUUACACAUGCAAGUCGAACGGCAGCACGGGAGCAAUCCUGGUGGCGAGUGGCGAACGGGUGAGUAAUAUAUCGGAACGUGCCCAGUCGUGGGGGAUAACGUAGCGAAAGCUACGCUAAUACCGCAUACGAUCUAUGGAUGAAAGCGGGGGAUCGCAAGACCUCGCGCGAUUGGAGCGGCCGAUAUCAGAUUAGGUAGUUGGUGAGGUAAAGGCUCACCAAGCUGACGAUCUGUAGCUGGUCUGAGAGGACGACCAGCCACACGGGGACUGAGACACGGCCCAGACUCCUACGGGAGGCAGCAGUGGGGAAUUUUGGACAAUGGGCGCAAGCCUGAUCCAGCAAUGCCGCGUGCAGGAUGAAGGCCUUCGGGUUGUAAACUGCUUUUGUACGGAACGAAACGGUGAGCUCUAAUACAGUUUGCUAAUGACGGUACCGUAAGAAUAAGCACCGGCUAACUACGUGCCAGCAGCCGCCGUAA